UACAACAUAGCGUUAAUGCACCGGAUCCCAUUAGAACUCCACAAUUUAGCGCGUUCAGGCUAUAGUAUUGGGAUGGGUGACCGCCCAGGAAGUUCUAGUGUUUUAC
rnacentral:rRNA from 1 species